AUAUUAAUUAUUCAAAACUUCUUCAACCUUUCCGUAGAUGAAGGUUAAACUAGUCUUUAGAUUUUUUGAAGAUAUUAGUGAUUCGCUUCGGCUACCAAACACUUUAAUUUCAAUCAGCACAUCAUUAGGACGCCAAUGAAGCAGCACUGAUCCUGAGUCAGGAAAGAACUCCCGGCAUUCACAAAAACCAUUCAAAGCAGCCUCCUCUGCUCAUCUCUCCCGCUGCCCCCAUCAGAAAAUCCAUAACCACAACCUUUCCCAGCCUUUAAGCUGCCUCUGGAGAGUCAGGGAAGCCAACGGCAUCAUUGUUCACGCGGCAACUGUGCUGCACCUCGUUGUGCAGAAGCUUGGUGGGCGUCCGUGACUUCAGGAGCCCGUGAGAAGGGGAAGCCGUCGGUAUUGUGCCUCAUGCCAAAGAACCGGACUACCCACCAGGGACAGUUACUUGUCUUUUACAAUACCCAGGAAGUGCCCUUCAUCACAGACGCUGAAGUUUGACUGUGGCCUUAUGCGGUACAUUGUGCUGACAUAUUUUCUCAUGGGAACUGUUGGGCUAGUUCAGGCAAGUAUCUGCAAUGCUUAAACAGACAGUUUCAGGCUGGAGAAUUUAAGAGACAACCAAAUAGAGUUUUAAUGCCCUGUAAGAUAAUAACGAAAGACAUUUAUGAAAAAAAAUUCCAGUUAGUUUGAAAGCCAGGGCCCGCACUCCAUAUUUUGACAGCAGAUGGAUGGCUAGCUUGACUGAUCCUGGUUUACUUUCUGACUUGAAUUUGUCCCCUAGUCCAGUGAAAUCAUAAGGGCUCCCUUCAAUCUGGUUAAUGUUCAGAACCAAUGUUUGAGUUUUAGACUAAUUAAGGGGCAACCACUGACAUUUUUUCUAUAAUGUGAAGACUGGUGCCAGCAGUAACUCAGUGAGAUUUAACAUAAAAGCCAGAUAAAACAAUUAAAGUGGAAGAAUAUUUGAUUAAGUGGAUCACUGAUUUAUAGUGAGGUAAAUUGAAAUUGAAAGGAGAGUGAACUUUUUAUGGCAAUCAUAUAUUACGUUCAUUAUCAGAGACUCUGGAUCCUUUGUGCUUUUGUGAUUUAAAAAGAAAUAAACCAGUUUAAGGAGAGUCAUCCUGGCAGGCAUCGUUUGUGUCUUGUCUUGAGUUAUGGUUUCUUUUCAUUGCAAAGGUUAAAUAAAUCAUAUUCAAGAAAACUCAUUGCAAAACACGCAAUCAACAUUUGAAUAGACAAAAAAGUGUAAUAGGGACACGCAUGGCAAAAUACACACCGGCACUUUUGUUUUGGUGAGCUUGACAUACACUUCAAUCAGCAUUUAUUUGGUAUUUGCAGAAACUGUAGCUGUGGCAACAUCCCUUAAGGGGUCUUGGGUCUGUUGUCUAGAAGAGCCAUAGAUUUGGUAUCAGACCUGGGGAAAUUGUGAAACAG
rnacentral:lncRNA from 1 species